UUCAGGUCACACCCUUCUCAUGGGGAAUGGCUUUUGCUGACUUGGUUUAUUUGCGUGCACUGCCACGUUGGAAUCAUCUGUGCUGAGGAGUGGGCAUGAGGACAGGUGCUUCUUUGUUGACUACCAUUGUGUGCACCUGCAGACUACUCGUAACUGCUCUCUCCUAUGCAGUGGACACAUGAGGUACUGUGCAGCUGGCACUAGAGUAUCUGUGGCUUUUGCUGCCCAAAACAGCCCAUUCACAGUUUUGUAUUUAUUUGGAGAAUAAUGCUGGUGGUGUAUAUGCUGGUGUAUUCUUUUUUUUUUUUUUUUUCAGUUGUAGUUGGACACAGUAUAUCUUAUUUAUUUAUUUUUAUGUGGUGCUGAGGAUCAAACCCAGGGCCUCACACAUGCUAGGCGAGUGCCCUACCCCUGAGCCACAAUCCCAGCCUCUAUGCUGGUAUAUUCUAAGGUUUGUUUAGGUUUGCCUGCUCUUUGGUUACUUGAACAAUGAGGUUUUUGUUCUGAUUUAGUGUUUAGUGUGGUUCAUAAUGCACAGUAGUUCUUCAUUAGUUGUCAUUAAUGAAAAGUGGACUCCCAUGACUGUUCAUUUCUAAGGGGUAAACAUCUGUUUUGUUGUAAAAAUAAAAGUAAGUCCAUGUCACCAUCCUAAUUGUGUACUUAUUGCAGGUUUUAGGGACAAAGCUGUGGGUAUGCAUUAUGAUAUGGCUUCAGUGAUGAAUAAGAGAGCAAUCACAUCCUUACUCUAAAGUAGAGAAAUAGAGGGGUAAACAAGGUGCCAACUCUGGGGAUGAGGAAUUCUGGGGUUUGCAGGGACACCUGUGAUCUAGGAAGUUGGCCUGAAGCAGUGGUGUGUCUGGAGGGGAAACACUCUCUUUUCCCUGGCCGUUUGCAAGCCAUUGUGCAUGGUUCAGGCACAUAGGAUCUCAGAUCUCCAUCUCCCUAGGAAUUGUCUGAAGGUUGAUGGGUUUUCUGCCGAGUGGACUGGGAUUGGAAAAUCAUGCUGCUUUCUGAUGAACACAAGAUCCUCCCUGUCAUUUGUCACCAUUCUUCACUUAAUAUGAAUCUGAUGAGUUCAAGAUACUUUUUUUAUGGCUCCGUCAUUUGUAAUUUGUGCAAACUAGGCUUUGCUUCUAAUUUUGCUUUUUAAGUUCUCUGAAGGUUACAUAUGCAAAGUGCCUCAGGAACAGUUGUUUUGAUAUUAUGCUUCUUAACAAUGUCGUUUUUAGCCCAAGAAGCUAAUUACUAGGGAAAGAAUACAGAGCAGGGAGAGAAGGAGGUGGAGCCAAUGUCCUGGAGGGGUUAUUGAGAGAAUGGCAAUCAUAAGGUAGAAAGAACAUAUGUUAUUUUUACUGAAAUUUGUUUGAAAACUUUUAUAAACCAGAAAAUGUUAAUAGUUCAAAUAUAAUUAUUAAAGGAUUUUCCCAUCUGCCUCAUAAGCGUUGGCUUGGUGUCCUGACUAUCCAUGGAAUGAUGCACUGAAGGGAACCCAUUUUCCUACCUGGAGAAGCAGCAGUGGGUACCCACCUUUACCAUGGCUUUUGAGGCAUCAGUGGCAUGAGAGUAAGUCACUGGACUGUGUAGGGUAGGGGAAGACACAGGAAAGUAAGACUUCUAGAAGAGGCUUAGAAGCCUGGCCAUCUAAGUUGGCACCUGAACUUUAAUAUGCUUGAACUUGAAAGCUGCAAACAUUAUUUGGAAAGGUAAUUAUGAUAAUUAUGAGACCAGUUCUUCAAGGCAGCUUUUCCCCCUCAAGAACAGGACCUUAGGUUGGAUGUCAGUGGGAGGAGAGCAUAAUGUUCCUGUUAGCAUUCCGCAGAAAGUAGAUUUCACCAUUGAGGGAAAUAUUUUUUAUUGAUUAAUGAUCUGGACUUGUUUGGACUUGUUAUGAAAUCAGGAAAUGGCUAUUGUAGGCUUGACGUGUGAAACAAAGUGCAAAACUGAUAAGAUUAAUCAAAGCAAAACACAAUAUAAUGUCAAAACCAGAAAGGUAUUUCUGAAGCUCAAGGAAUUAAUAAGAGGUAGUAAAUAGGAGAGGUAAGCUGAGUAUAAAUGAACAAAGUGGUAAUGCUUUAGAAAGAUAUAUCAGCAAAAUGUAUUUUUGUCAAGAUAAAAAUAAUCUAAAUCUGCAAAAAUGUAAUAAGCCAGUUAGAGAUAUCAUAAAUAUUUUUUGAUUGUUUUGGGUAAUGCAAAAGUAUCUGGAGAAUUAAAAAAAAGUAUCUGUAAAUAUCAUUGAGAAAUAAAGAAGUACUGAGCAGUAGGCAUGGCAUGAUUGCAAUUUGAUGAAGAUAGCCAUUUGAUGAGAAAUACUGGAAAGACAUAUUUCAUAGUGUUCAUAGUAUAGUGCUCCAGGGAGGCUGUAGGCAGGGGCCAGGCAAGGGAGAAUGCUGUAUGGAGUCCUAUUUUAAAACAUGUUAGUUUUGGUGUGGUGGUUAAUUUUUCAUAAUCUCUGUACAGAAAGAGUUGUUUCUGGCAGUCAGAGGUGAGAGUAGAGAAGUAAUGGAGGCUGCUGUUUCAUAAUGCUUAUCUUGCUCAGACCCCAGUGGGUGAGGAGUGGGAGGCCUUGCUGCAGACUCACCCAGUGUACAUGAUGUAGUGCUAGCAGACUCAUAGCCUCCUUGCCACGUGUCCUUAUGACCUCCCACUGUGCUUUCUUGUGUGCUUACUGUUAGAGUAGCCCCCUGAAUGCUUGGUGAAUAAACAGGGCAACCAUUGUGUUCCAGCUUAGCUGGGUGUUUAGCUCGGCAUAUGCUUUAGUUUACUAUGGGAAUGUAAUUUGUUUUUGCUGCAUGUACUUGUUCAGGUGUAGUAAUAGUCAUGGUAGUAGUCCAAAGCAGGAUGCUCUCAGACUUGUUUUCCUGCCUCGCCUGUCCUGCUUGCCUGGCUUUUCUUGGAGAGUUGGGAUUGAAUUACUCCAACACAGCAGAGAGGUGACUGGCUCCAUAAAAGUCAUCUUUCCUGAUGCAGGUAGACUCACCAACAGAAGCUGCCCAGGCAGGGAGACCUCUUUUGAAAAGCUUCCCAUUUUCACCCAGCAGCCCUACCUAUAUGAGCUCCACCCCUGUGGAAUUCCCUCUUGGAACAACUCCGUGCAGGCAGCCUGUUGAGGAGUCAAGUCAGUGCUUCUCCAUGCUUCACAUCAGCCCCACACCUUGAUGCGCAUCGAUGCUGUACAUUCUGACAUGCUGCUAUAGGCAGUGAGGGUAGAAGGCACCCUCCUCCCUGCCUCAGAAAAAUUGCUCUGGUCACUGUGUGAGGAAUGAAUUGGAAGAAGCUAACCCAGAGACCAGGAGCCAUUAGGUUUCCAAGCAGACAUUCAUGCAGAUCGCUGGUGCAUCUAGAAGAGCAGAGCUUCAGGUCCAUGGGGUGGCCAGCAGCAUUGUAUUCACUGGGGUUUCCCAAGUGUCUGGAAUGGUGGAUGCUCAGAAAUAUGGCAGUUUUGCCAAUUAAAGAGUCUUUUGGGUCAAAAGUUUCUAUUUUUAGUCUGGAAUGGUUGGGGAGAACCGGCCUUCUGUUGAAAUAAAGUACUUGGAGAGAUUUGUCUGAA